GCAUCGUCCAAUGGUAGGAUACCGGUCUCCAAAACCGUUGAUGGGGGUUCGAAUCCCUCUACCC
rnacentral:tRNA from 1 species